rnacentral:lncRNA from 1 species
AUGGAGAAGAUGAUCUGCAGGAUCCUGCUGCUCAUCAUCCUCACCUCAUGUGUCUCUGGAUCAUUUGUAGUCAAUGUGACACAGACCUCCUAUCAGGCAGAGGAGAACCACAACAUCACACUGGAGUGGACGUUCACCACCAAACCUGACAGAGUGACAUGGAGCCUUCAUGUGCUCCAUGAUAAUGCAGCACAUGAAGGCUACAGAUGGCAGCCUUGGAGCUUUGCAGGCACGAAUAGAGGAGCUUGUCGUCAUCAUCAGAAUAACAAAAAGAGGCGACACAGAAUUCGCAAGGUCAUCUUAGAUGAGAAGAAACGCUUGGCGGCUGCUGUUGACGACUACAACAAGCGUGCUGAACCAACAAAGCAAAUCGUAUCCAGUGAUGCCCUCAUCCAGACCGAUAUUUGGCCCUGGCAGAGCACAAGUGAACCUGCUGCAGACCUGGAGACAAAGAGAAAGGUCUUUGAGAAGGUGAUGGCUGUGAGGUGCCUGAGAGAGGAGGAGAUGAUCCUUUGCAGGGAGAUGCGGCAUCACUGGACAGUGUUGCGAAUGCGAUCUGUGGAGUUGGGGACAAUCUCCUCAGACUCCUCCCUUGUUGGCAUGUCAGAGGAUGCACAGAAGGGACUCUGUAGCCUGGUUUGAAAAAAAAAACAAAACAAAGUGAACUGAAAGCUAAAAUGCUCAAAGUAAAGGACGUGUACAAGAGAAUCCUCAGCCACCAACCACUCCUGGAAAUGGACUCAGAGGAGGAGGACGACAUUCCAGAUGAAUGUCAAAUCACUCUCUUCCAGAUGAGAGUGAUUUGAGCACUUCAUUGAUAUUAUGUUUGGUAAAAUAAAAAGUUAAUCACAUCUCUGUUUAAUGUGAUUUUUACAAUGUCUGUUUUAGAAAUUGCUGUUUUAGAAAUUUUACAUGUUGAGAAGAAAGAUGGAAUUCCCUUGGUUCAGUUGUUUACCCUGAAUACUUCUUUCCCAUCUAAUUUAAUGACUAGUGUACAUGUUCAGAUACAAUAACAUAAUUUAAUUCAUGGAAUGCUUUCUGUGCUGCUCAAAUUAUCACAAAAUUUAAAAGCACCAGGCAGCACACUCACAAG